rnacentral:lncRNA from 1 species
GUGUUUUUGUUUGAUUGAGCAAUUUUAAAUGUACUAUUACAGUAAAACUCAGGCAAGAUAUUGCAUAGAAAAACUAACUCAUGAAUAAAAGUUAAAUAUUUUACUGUUUAGAGUUUUCCUUGUUUGGGAACAACUGUGAGGACUGAUGGAAUCAAAACAGAAAAGUGCAUUUGCAUUUGGAGCGUUCACAAUUUAGUGGAGCAAAUAAAUGAUUUAAAAAUUACUUCUGAAAAGAAAGAUGGUGUCAUCCUCAUAUCAGGGACCCUACAGGAUGUUGUACUUUGCAAAAAUCCCAUGACACUGCCCGCCCUUGGGAAAGACAUUGAAAAUGAUGUUGACGAAGUAAGGCUGGAAUCCUGAAAUAAAUGAUGAAGAAAUAAGACUGACAUCUCUAUUCCACAGAAAGCCUUGAAUCAAAUUUCCCCUCCAACAAUCUGAAGGAGAUGCUUUUUUACAUUUUUACAAUCAACUUAUUUCUAUAUAACAAAUUAUCCCAAAUUUCAAAUCAAUAAAGAUUUAAUAUCUCAUAUAAGGAUCUACAUAUCACAAGUCCAGUUGUGGUUUAGCUGAGUUGUUCUAUUUCAGUAUCUUUCCUAUGUAUUUUUGUUACAAUAAAUGUUGGGGUGAAGUAAUCAAAGAUGGUAGUAGGACCAGAAAAUAUGAUUGCACAAACGUUCACUUACUUGUCUAUUAGUUCUAACCUAGACCUAGCUAGGUACAAGAUAACAAAUGCUUGCUAUGCACACCCUCUAAUCAUUUGAGCUGUAGUAGAAAAUUAAUGCGUAUUUUGCUACAAGGAUUACAAAGUGUUCAUAACAACUAAGAAAAC